CGACCGCCUGCUGCUGCUG
rnacentral:misc_RNA from 1 species